CUUCUAAUGAGUUUUGCCUGAAUUUAUGUAUAUACAAUUACAAUCUAUCCUUUUUUGCUACAGAAUGUUGGCAGGCGUGCAGAAGCCUGGAUUCAGACAGGAGGCAAGGGCUCCUUGUUCUCCCUUGUUAGUUCAGUUUCCAGAGAUGUCGAAUCGAGUCCCUUGCUGUGAUGAAUGUCGUUGCUGGAAAUACCAUCUCUGCAGACAUAAUGAGCCAGACCAACUCCUGGUGUAACUAAGUUGCAAGUUCAUUAACUUCAAUGAGUUUCCUCAUGAAUUUGGCCAAUCAUUUCUGGACAGAGUCAGCGGUAUAUCAAUCCACCCAUUCCUGAGCAGGCUCAUAAAGAAGCUAGCAAAAAGGCCAACUGCAAGCUCAUCUCACUGACACUAACAUUCUAGAUCUGGCCCAGUUUGAAUUCAGGCCAGGACUCAGAACUGAAACUGCCCUGGUGGAACUGAUGAAUAUUUUCCUUUUGUCAAUGGAUAGAAGACAAACAUUUCAUCCUUCUUGAGCUCUCUGCAGCAUUCAACACUACUGACUAUGAGAGUCUGCUGUCUCACCUGAAAGCGGUGGCAGGGGUCCAAGGUAAUAUGCUGAAAUGGUUUGAGUCCUUCCUGGAGGGAUAUACCCAAUGAGUACUGCCAGCAGUAUGCAUAUGAUACACAACUCUACCUAUCCUUCACCACAUACAGUCAUGCCACUACCACCAAUAUGGCCCAUUGGGUGAAAUCAACUCUUGGGUGAAAUCAACUCUUGGGUGAAGAACAGCUGAUUGAAGUUGAACUCACGCAAGACAGAGGUUGAUGAUAUACACUCACAACUGGCCAAUUCAAUGCAUAGUCUGAGUACACUUGGAUUCCUUAUUGACAUUGAUUUUUUACAUAGCAGCAUCUGCAAAUAACACUCUCUACAGACUCGGCUUGGUUAGGAAGCUCUGUUGCAUUCUGGCAGAUGAAGACCCUGCCUCAUUUAUUCACACCUUUGCCACCUCUUGGCUGGAUUACAGCAAUGCAAUAUACCUGGGCAUGAAGCCUUCAGCACUUAGGAAACUCCAACUAGUACAGAAUGCUGCAGCACAUCUCCUCAGCAACACAGCCUACCACAGACAUAUCAGACCUGUCCUCUGCUCUCUACACUGACUUUCUUUAGAAUUUUGAAUCAAGUUCCAGGUCUCAGACCUUCUCUUCAAAGCACUCCAUGGCUUCAACAUCUAAAAGCUCUGGGACAAAGACUGGUUGACAACUAGGUUCCACUGGCACAAUGGAACUUCCAACAAUAAAAGUAAAGCUCUUCUGUGUGAGACA
ensembl:lncRNA